AACGAACGCUGGCGGCGCGUCUUAAGCAUGCAAGUCGAACGGCAAGAGAGGAGCUUGCUUCUCUCCUAGAGUGGCGGACUGGUGAGGAACGCGUGGGUAAUCUACCCUUAAGAUGGGGAUAGCCGCUAGAAAUAGCGGGUAAUACCGAAUAGACUUAUAGCUGAGAAAGAAGUGAUAAGGAAAGGAAGCUAAGGCUUCGCUUAAGGAUGAGCCUGCGUCCCAUUAGCUAGUUGGUAAGGUAACGGCCUACCAAGGCGACGAUGGGUAUCCGGCCUGAGAGGGUGAACGGACACAUUGGGACUGAGAUACGGCCCAAACUCCUACGGGAGGCAGCAGCUAAGAAUAUUCCGCAAUGGACGGAAGUCUGACGGAGCGACGCCGCGUGGAUGAAGAAGGCUGAAAAGUUGUAAAAUUCUUUUGCUGACGAAGAAUAAAGAUAAGAGGGAAUGCUUAUCAGAUGACGGUAGUCGGCGAAUAAGCCCCG
rnacentral:rRNA from 1 species